AUUGAACGCUGGCGGCAGGCCUAACACAUGCAAGUCGAGCGGGGUUUUCGGACCUAGCGGCGGACGGGUGAGUAAUGCGUAGGAAGCUACCCGAUAGAGGGGGAUACCAGUUGGAAACGACAGUUAAUACCGCAUAAUGUCUACGGACCAAAGUGUGGGACCUUCGGGCCACAUGCUAUCGGAUGCGCCUACGUGGGAUUAGCUAGUUGGUGGGGUAAUGGCUCACCAAGGCGACGAUCCCUAGCUGGUUUGAGAGGAUGAUCAGCCUCACUGGAACUGAGGCACGGUCCAGACUCCUACGGGAGGCAGCAGUUGGGAAUAUUGGACAAUGGGCGCAAGCCUGAUCCAGCCAUGCCGCGUGUGUGAAGAAGGCCUUCGGGUUGUAAAGCACUUUCAGUAGGGAGGAAGGGUGUUGUGUUAAUAGCACAGCAUUUUGACGUUACCUACAGAAGAAGCACCGGCUAACUCUGUGCCAGCCGCCGCGGUAAGAC
rnacentral:rRNA from 1 species